rnacentral:ncRNA from 1 species
UCGUGGUGAGGUGAGAACGCCCUCCUCAUGCACCGCUUCGGCGGUAAAGUAGGCUCCAGCCGAAGAGAUGCGGGACCAGGGGACCCCGCCACCACGA